UUACGGCCACAUCUUGUCGAAACAUCGGUUCCCGGACGAUCAUCAAAGUUAAGCAAGUCGAGCCUGGUCAGUACCUAGAUGGGUGACUGCCCGAGAAUACCAGGUGCUGUAA